rnacentral:tRNA from 1 species
GUAAACAUAGUUUAACCAAAAUAUUAGAUUGUGAUUCUAAAGAUGGAGGUUAAACCCCUCUUGUUCACC